GUUGCUAACGACGGUGACCUCCUGCUCGGUGAUAUUGGGAGCCAUUUCUGCUGCCCACCGUUUGAGGUAGUGAACUCUUCAAAUCCUCUAAUGAGAUGCCCGUUCAACACUGACCACUCCGAUAAACUGCCGGCUCGUUGGGAGGGGCCGAUCUUAUCAACUGGCGGCAAUCGCAUGCGGUUAGAGCGGAUCCAAUCGAGCAUCGCGGUUGCAGGCGGAAACCAUUCUCGCCUUCCAUAUCGGAAAAUAAAGGCACAACACAACACAACGGCGAAUGAGUAAACGAAAAACAUCACACCCAGUCCAGCCGAGCACGCGUUCCAUGCAUCCAAUCCCACAUUAGUAUGUUAUACUCGCAACGCGGUCAGCGCAUUCUAUCUAGCUUGUCCAGAAGCCCAGAGGAGGGAGGAAGGGGGUCAUUUGUGAUACAUGCGAUGCGAUUCGACGAUAGGAUGAUGUAAUGAUGAGGCAUAGUUCGAGUGAAUGAACAAACUGUCUUUGCAGUAAAUCGUUAUUCGAUGAACCGAUAACUGGGGUGGUUCUGUUAAAAAUGGAUUUGUAAAGAAACAUAAUCAGCUACUAUUACUCAGUUGUGUCGAUGACCUUCCUUUGGGUACGUAACGAAAUUAUUGGUGCAACGUUUCAUAGAACCUUGGCCUACUUUACCAAUACAAUAUUAGUCUUGUCGCCGUACUUGGCAGUGAUUUUCAGCAUUUGUAACAAAAGCAGUGUCAUAUUUGAUAACAAAUCCCGGCCCGACGGUACUGAGGUUAAGGUGCUGAUCGUUGUCGUCAUAUGAUCGGGGCCCGAACCUGGAAGGGUUAAUCUUGUACAUAGGAACGUGUUCGUUACAAUAAGAAUCGGUCAAAAUAAAAAGUUAAGUUCCGCUCUGGAAGGUAGCACAACAACUUUGUUUUUGAUAAUAACAACAGUUCAAACAAUUUAGAUUCGUACUAGCGACCGUCGCAACCGUUCGUUUCCAAAAGUGUGUGUCUGGGUAGGUAAGUAACAACAACAUGUGAACCGAAGGUUGGCGGCGUGACUAACCGAUUAGUAUUCCUGGCCGGUAGUUAUCCCGCCCGGCACCAAGCACAAUCGAGC